rnacentral:rRNA from 1 species
GUGGGGAAUAUUGCACAAUGGGCGCAAGCCUGAUGCAGCAACGCCGCGUGAGGGAUGACGGCCUUCGGGUUGUAAACCUCUUUUAGUAGGGAAGAAGCGAAAGUGACGGUACCUGCAGAAAAAGCACCGGCUAACUACGUGCCAGCAGCCGCGGUAAUACGUAGGGUGCAAGCGUUGUCCGGAAUUAUUGGGCGUAAAGAGCUCGUAGGCGGCUUGUCGCGUCUGCUGUGAAAUCCCGGGGCUCAACCCCGGGCCUGCAGUGGGUACGGGCAGGCUAGAGUGCGGUAGGGGAGAUUGGAAUUCCUGGUGUAGCGGUGGAAUGCGCAGAUAUCAGGAGGAACACCGAUGGCGAAGGCAGAUCUCUGGGCCGCUACUGACGCUGAGGAGCGAAAGCAUGGGGAGCGAACAGGAUUAGAUACCCGUGUAGUCC